UCGGGAAUUUUGGGCAAUGGGCGAAAGCCUGACCCAGCAACGCCGCGUGAAGGAUGAAGUAUUUCGGUAUGUAAACUUCGAAAGAAUAGGAAGAAUAAAUGACGGUACUAUUUAUAAGGUCCGGCUAACUACGUGCCAGCAGCCGCGGUAAUACGUAGGGACCAAGCGUUGUUCGGAAUCACUGGGCGUAAAGCGCACGUAGGUGGGCAGUUAAGUCAGGGGUGAAAGCCCGAGGCUCAACCUCGGAAUUGCCUCUGAUACUGGCUGUCUAGAGUUCGAGAGAGGUGAGUGGAAUUCCUAGUGUAGAGGUGAAAUUCGUAGAUAUUAGGAAGAACACCGGUGGCGAAGGCGGCUCACUGGCUCGAUACUGACACUGAGGUGCGAAAGCGUGGGGAGCAAACAGGAUUAGAUACCCUAGUAGUCCCUGAGCGGGCUGGCAAGGCGCAU
rnacentral:rRNA from 1 species